AGCGAACGCUGGCGGCAGGCCUAACACAUGCAAGUCGAACGAACUCUUCGGAGUUAGUGGCGGACGGGUGAGUAACACGUGGGAACGUGCCUUUUGGUUCGGAAUAACUUAGGGAAACUUGUGCUAAUACCGAAUGUGCCCUUCGGGGGAAAGAUUUAUCGCCAUUAGAGCGGCCCGCGUCUGAUUAGCUAGUUGGUGAGGUAACGGCUCACCAAGGCGACGAUCAGUAGCUGGUCUGAGAGGAUGACCAGCCACACUGGGACUGAGACACGGCCCAGACUCCUACGGGAGGCAGCAGUGGGGAAUCUUGCGCAAUGGGCGAAAGCCUGACGCAGCCAUGCCGCGUGAAUGAUGAAGGUCUUAGGAUUGUAAAAUUCUUUCACCGGGGACGAUAAUGACGGUACCCGGAGAAGAAGCCCCGGCUAACUUCGUG
rnacentral:rRNA from 1 species